rnacentral:lncRNA from 1 species
ACGUGGGACAAAUAUAAAGUGGUUCUAAGCUUCUGUGCUCUACUCUCUGCGAAAGGUUUAACGUGCUAAUGGCUUCUAUGCAUAUAGCCGGCAUCGUGUUCUUGCAUAUAUUCUUCUUUUUCAUUCCAGGAAUAUAUGCGGCGAGAAAUGUGGCUUUGAAAAACAAUACGCAAGAUUGCGACAGAAAGCAAAAACAAUGCCAAUAUCCACCUGAUUGCAACUGCCAGUGGAACUUAUCGCUCGGAGAGCAAUAUAACAACUACUAUCACUACAACCCAGAUAAAAACGAAUGUUUAG